GUAAAGUCCUCUCUGUUCCCGGCUGCCCUCUGCCCUCGGUGCUCAGCAAAGAUGCCAAAUGGCCAGCGCGGGGUCACUGGCGGAGCAUUCCCGGGACGUGCUGCACUUUGUUAGUGGUGACCCUGCCACGUGGCCCUCCCCGCAGGCCGUGCUGCUCGCUGUGUCUGCACGGGCACCGGAGCGACGUGGGAGGCGAAGCUUUUCUGCAGUGCUGGGUACCGAAGUGUCCCCAGUGUGACUGUGCUGUGCUAAGGAGACAACAAGCCGGACCAGCACCUUGAGGGUCUGGGCUCCCAAAGCAUUGCAGGGGGAUACAGGCACACGGGGGCUUUUGGAUACCAGUUAGUGCUGCAAAAAGUGGUCACUGGGGACAACAAGCGGUUGUCGCUACCCUUGUUCUGGGUCGGUGGGAGGUGGCAGGCUUUGAUUUUGUGCCGCUCUCUGCUGGGACUGUUUGACCCCGGGGCUGCCACAGCAUGGAGCUGCCCCUGCCCCUGGCUGCGCUGUGGGAUAUGCCCUGGGCACCACGCUGACAGCAAGAUGGAAACUUGAAAAAAAAAAUUUGCUAACCUAUUUCUGUUUCCUGGCUGCUGCAAUUAUUUUUGGGCCCCAUCGCGUUCCCGCAUGACCUGAGUUUUACCACUCGAGGUAAUUAGAUUGAUGAAAACCCUUCUGCAAAAGGUUGUUUAAACCCAAAAUUAAGUGGGAUGAGAACUGUUGAAGAACAGCAAUCUCUGAUUUUCAGGAUCUCCACUUUCCAAUGCGUGAUGGGAAGAAGAGCUGGCCCCUGUGUGCUGUGACCCUGCGGGUGCAUGGGCUCCUCACCAAAGCGUGUCUCUGCUUAGAAAAUGGCACCUUUGGGAAAGCUGGAGGCAAAAGGGCAUCCUGAUGUGUGAGGAGCCUCCGGGGACUUGUUGGAAAAUCAGUUAUGAGAAGCACGCACCAGGCAGCUCAAAACACUGGGGCAGGACCAGCUGCCGAGGAAGAUGUGCCUUCUGCCACACAUGCCAGCAGCUUCAAGGGAAGGAUGGGAAAGAAUGGUGACUGUUGAUAAAAGGGGAAUUCUUCAUGUGCUCAGACAACACUUGGGCUAUGUCCUGAAGGAUAAACCUCAGUAACUCCUAUGGCAUUUUUUCUCUUGUGUUUCAGGUGGCCGUGGCUUUUCUUGCCAUCAAUCUGAACAUCCUAUCAGCGCAAGCCCUGCACCACUGAAACCUCAGAGACAAUUUGCAGCAGCAAAACCAGAGGUUAAUGACAAAGCACUCUGUCAAACCACCUAUUUGGCUUCUCGAUUCUCCAGUUGCAUCCUUGCUGCAUCCAGGCACAGCGCUGUAUUGUCUCUUGUCAAGCUGAGACGACGCACAGGUGAAUUUGGUGGUCCCAGGGUGCAGCUGAAGGCCUGGGGAAUCACCUGCUUGUGUUGCAAGCCUGGAUGCAGUUUGAUUUGAGGCAGAAAAGCUCAGUGAGGAGCCGAACUGUUGGCAGCUCCCGCAGAGGAUGGGUUUGCAAUGAGCACAUCUCGCCACACAGGUUUUGUCGGCUGCAGCUGCGUGGCCAACCUUGGCCAAACUUUCGGCUGUGUCUGAUGCCACCAGCAUGGUGACACCUGGCAUCGCUGUCACAGCAAACCCUCGCUGGAGCUCCACUUUUGAGCCUGUGCUCUAGUCUGCAGGCAGCUGAGCGUGCUGAGAGCUGCAGCAAAGCAGAAUCACCACCAGGAGCUUCAGUUUGCUUACAGAGAUCUCCAUCUGUGGGGAAAAGUAGUGAUGGGUAAGUUAAAAAAGGUUAAAAAUUGCUGUCCAGGUGUGCAGAGCCAGGAGGUCUCGCUGGAGCAGGUAAGGAGGGUGCUAUGGCCCCAGCGUGAGCAGGAGUCAGAGCAGUGCACAGACCUGGCAUGUUAAUGAGCAAUUUAACAAGGAGCCACCUCGGCUGGCAGCUGUUGGCUGCCUGAAGGGACAGAAAACCUCACCCUGGUGGUUGUAUCAUGCGUUUUGCUGCUUCCCUGUGUGCUUUGGGACCUCCACAGGGGAGCAGAGGAAUGUCUGCCAGCUCUAGCAGGAAUUGCUCUAGAUACUUGGCUGUCUCUUUGUUUAUCCAAACUGUCUAGCUGGGUGGGCUGGGGCCCUAAUCAGUAGUUCAUGAUUGGACUAAUGGAGAAAAAGACCCAGCUGGCAGAUUUCCCAGUGAGUUGGGCAGCCUAUUCCUUGUGUAUCUGCGCUGACCCUCAGAAAUCAACUGAAACAAAAUCACAACAGCUCAAAGAAUCUGUCUCAGAGAUGGUGUUCAGGGUAAAAGACUAAAAUAAUGUUGCUUAAUCAUGACAUGCAAGAAGUCAAUAAAGAAUAACACAGCAUAGUUCUGACGUGGUGAAUUCGUACCUGACUGCCAGGCUCCACUUUUAUUAUGUCCAUAAUAAGACGGUGCUGCCACUGUUUUUUGUGGCCAUUAGUCCAGGGGAAGCGUUGCCUCAUCCCUGCUGGACACGUGCUUUCUGGUCCUAUAACCCUGGUUGCACAGAGUAUUCAUUUAAGCGGAGGGACUGCUCGCACCCUGCUGCCUGCUCCUGUUGGCUCCAGAGGCAUGCAGUGACCUCCUGCAGCAUCGUCCCCUCCAUCAUCCCACCAGUGCAGGAGGGUUGAGGUCUGGCAGGACUCCCAGGGCCCCCCAGUUCCCAGGAGACAAUAGGAGAGGACAAGCCCCCAGGAUGUACUUUCCACAGCCCAUGGCCAGGAAUUCUGAAGCAGGUCUUGUCUCUUGUGUGGUACCUCCUGGGGCAGAACAAUUAAUCAAUCCCCAGCUGCUAUUUGCCUGGGAAUUAGCUGUUUCCUGAGGAUUAACCUAAUUGUCUAAUUAUUUGUUAUAUCACCUCUCCUCCCGCUUCUCAUUCAUUGUUUUAUUUGUAAAAUAUCUUUAGUCUCUUUUAUUUGAAAGCAUUCAGGAGACUUGUUUUGGGUUUGGUGGUUUGUUUGGUUUUUUUUGCAUACAUUUCUUUUCUGAAGAGUCCUUGCUGAUACAAACAUCUCCUCAGCCUCCCUGGGAGCAAGGACUGGGGGGUCUGGCCUUUAGAGUGUGAAAUUUCCCCCCCUGCCCACAGGGAAGUCCUCUAAUCUGCUUUUGUUCUUGUGUUCACCCUGUCUGACUGGCUCCUGAGACAGUAUUACACUGCAAAAGGGAUGUGUGUCUAGAGAACAUGCUCUAGACAACUCCUUGACAGGAGUUUUAGGGUUAGGGCAUAAAUGUGAUUUUGCUCCUUCAGUAGGUGUUUAACUACUUGAGUUUGUCCUUGCCCCUAAAGAAUCCACCUGCAUUAGCAGAAUCUGCUCUUGCCUCCCAGAAGCAAUUGCCUGUUGACACCUUGGUCUUUGUUCACAAGGCACAAAUGGUCACCCCCCAGAAAAGCAAACAAAACGAGGAGAUCACCCACAGAGCAGCCUGUGUGACUGGGAGCGGGGAUGUUUGGAAGUGCAGGGAUGGAUUCUCCAUCCCCCAUUCCAGCUGCCUUUGCAGAGGAAGUUAGAGGCCCUUUAAAAGAAGUAGCCGAAUUACUGACUCCUCUACAGGACCCUCACACCCUGGGCCUUACUAGCUGGUGUAAGAUCCAGCCAGUUAACUUCAGCCAGCUCUUACCAGCUGGUGUAAGCUCCAGCUGGCUUUUACAUCCUUCACCUGCGGUGAUGUGCGGACAGCUGGUCUAAAUUGUGAUCUGGGGCUGAAAUACUCCUGGUUGUGUCCAGAGUUAAAAGAGAGUUAAAAUAUGCUUUCUUUGGUGCAAAAGGAGUGCUCGCUCUUUUCUCUCCACUUGGGUAUUGGAGCUAGAAGCCAACGUCGGGGGGGGACAGUCUGGCAAAGCUGCCACCGUCACUCAGGCAGAGAGCGGCUGAAUCGCUGCAGAUAAUGGUCCUCUAUUGAUUUUGACUUGUUUUUACAAUCAUUUGAGAAUUUUCACUAAGCAGAAUGAGAAAAUCUUCUGAUCCCCCAGAGGGUUCUCUUGUUCCUCUCGUUCUCUCAAGGAAAUAACAACAACAAAUAAACAAAAAAAAAACAAAGCAGAAAAAUUAAGCCCAUGAGUAAACCGUAAAUAAUGGGGUAGAGCUGGCUGAGAGUGCUUUGAUGUUCAAAUGCAUCAGUUACUUGAUUCGGUUCUUUUCCUUAUAAUUUUCCUGUAUGCACUUUCCCAACUUUUCAUAGGCAGGAUUUCAGUAAGAGGCACGGCUCCACGACAGUUCGUGGGCAUUCCCAGCCCUGCACGGAGGAGCACGAGCUGGGCUGGGCAUGGGGGUUUUGUUUCUUGGCUGGGUGCUUAUGUCCAGAGGCUUUUGGGGAUCUGCUUUGGGGGUCAUUCCUCUGGGUCAAGUCUGUCUGAUAAAGUCUUUGCGAUGUUUUGAUGAGUUCCCAAAAUGUGUGUGCGUGUGUGUGUGUGUGUGUGUGCAUUGGCUCACUGUGUAUGUCUGUGCUGGACCUGGGUGUCAGGACCGCUGGAGGCUGGAGUUUGUGCCCAUGGGGCGGUUGUCUCUGGGGCUUCUUGCAGAUUGGAGGUGACCCUGACGAGUUUCCCGUGGCAGGGAGAAGGGGUGCGCACGUGUGUGUGCACCGUGCAUGCUUGGGGACUGGGGUCUGCACAUCUCAUCCGAGCGCAGCGUUUGUAAUAGAAGCCAACUCCAAGUGCUAGCAGCACUGUUCUGCUGCUCAGAGGUGUUUGUUGGCUCAUGCAACUGAAAAGAUUAUGACAUUCAAAAGAAAUAAUUUAUAAACAGCAGAUGUUUCAUAAACUAUGAUUAAAAACCCCCAACAACCACAACACCAGCCCACCCAGUAUGUGCUUGUACCUCAACUUGGAAAAAAGUAUCUAGAUAGAACAGCUGCUGAGAGCACCAAGGGAGGUCGGCUCCGGAGCAGCGCUGAGAUACACAUGAUGCCGAAUGCCUAAUAAGAAAUCUUGAAGUGAUACAAAAAGGGCAUCUGAGGGAAAUUAAACUCAUACAUUUUUUAUAAGAAAUGGGGGGAAGAAUGAUAUGAAGUGGGGAAAUGUAAAGUGGGGAAUGGGGAAGGAAGAGGGAAAAACAAUCAUGAGGGUGCAGCAGAGCUGAGCCACACUGUUAAACGCUUUGACAGCGAGCUGUGAGCGAAGCUGGAGUGCAGCUGGCAGGCGGCGAUGUGACCCUGUGCCCUGCCUUCCUGAGCCUGGCUGGGGUGAGAGCAGGACUGCUGCUGGGGACAUGCGUCCUGACCAGGGAAAGAGACAGCAGGGGCUGACACUGCCGUGUACCUCUUCCCAGAAAGCCUUUUUGAUACAACUGUAAAAAAUUCAUUUCAACAUCAAAGCGCAUUUUAAUUUGCGCUUUCAGUUUGAUUGAUUUCAUUUCUUCUGUGUCUGCUAAAUAACGACACAAGCAUUUUCAGAAAAUGCCCUUCUGAUACUCUCUAACUGCUUGGGUUUGGACUGUAAUCAGCCCUCCUCCUCCUUCUCCUCUCGGUCCCUGCAGCCCCUGCCCAGGCGGUGGCUGCAGCCAGGAGAAGGUGGACAUCUCCCUCCUCCUUGUGCUCCUGCCAGGCUGGGCAGCUGGGGCAGAGAAUUUGUCUGGGGUGCAGAGCUGCUGGCUGAAAGCCUCCCUCCAGCUGUGGCCACAUCUGCCACGUACCCCAUGGACCGACUGCAGGUCAUUGCAUCUCGCUCCACUCCUGCCACCCUACCAGUGCCUACCACUCUGCAGCUGUAUCCUGGUAGGAGCAGCUCCUUCCUUACAGCCUUUCCUCCACGAAUCCACAGAUCUGUAUUUCUCCAAUUUUAGUCCCUUUCACCUACAAUCAGAAGACUUCUCCCACAGCCCCAGCCUUUAGUGGCCAUCAGCCUCCCUGGUAUGAUUACAUAGGUCUCUCUAAAGCAUCACAGGGAUGUAACUCAUCUGAAGGACCCAGUCAGUUCUUUCCCAGCUGGCUAUUAAUUAUUGUGUUUGCCCAAGAAAUCCCUUGGCAGAGAUCCACAUCUCUUGACCAGCUUUUAGCAACCUCCGGAAUAGCCUCCAGUGAUGUAGUUUCCCACUCACCUCCGUGCAUGCUUAUCUGUUCACCAUCUGAGUAAAGAUUUGGAUGAAGCAGAUGAAUAUCUGGUAUUACCGGCCAAAAACUGCUGAGCAAUGCAAAAUAAAUGGGGAGUAUAGAAACAUGGAGUGAAGGAGGAGGUCUCAGGAAGCAUCUGGCCAGCCCCUCCUCAGGGAGGCUGGAUCACGUAGCCCUGGCUGGCAGGAAUCUGUGCCCACCGUGCAAGGGAGCUGACACAAUUUGGUAGGUGCCAGCCCAGAAACCUUAGCUGGGAUCUCCAUCUCUCGCUGGCUAAAGAUGGAGCUUUCAUGGCUCCAGUGUUUGUGAUUGCCACGUUCAUGCCCUCCACAUUGCACUGACUGCCAGAGGAGACAGGUCACAGCACAGUGACCGGGUACCUGGCACAUUAAAUCUGGAAUUCCAGUUUGGGCAUCCUGGAAGAAGGAGGCCAUGUUCUGGUUUAAUAAUAGCUUGGUCUCCCUGGAGACCAUCACAUGUAGACAAGCUUCAAAAAAGGCUCAUAAAGGACCUUAGAAAUCCCCCUGAUUUUCAGUCCCCCUCCUCUUCACACAUCCCAGGUCCAUCACGGUUGAGUUUCUUAGGCAGAGCAGGCUGUGCAUUUGCAGGUGGUUUAUUUUGUCCUGGAAAGACAUACAUACAGAA